rnacentral:rRNA from 1 species
GACGAACGCUGGCGGCGUGCUUAACACAUGCAAGUCGAACGGAAAGGCCCUGCUUUUGUGGGGUGCUCGAGUGGCGAACGGGUGAGUAACACGUGAGUAACCUGCCCGUGACUUUGGGAUAACUUCAGGAAACUGGGGCUAAUACCGGAUAGGAGCUCCUGCGGCAUGGUGGGGGUUGGAAAGUUUCGGCGGUUGGGGAUGGACUCGCGGCUUAUCAGCUUGUUGGUGGGGUAGUGGCUUACCAAGGCUUUGACGGGUAGCCGGCCUGAGAGGGUGACCGGCCACAUUGGGACUGAGAUACGGCCCAGACUCCUACGGGAGGCAGCAGUGGGGAAUAUUGCACAAUGGGCGGAAGCCUGAUGCAGCAACGCCGCGUGCGGGAUGACGGCCUUCGGGUUGAAAACCGCUUUCGCCUGUGACGAAGCGUGAGUGACGGUAAUGGGUAAAGAAGCACCGGCUAACUACGUG